GGCAGGGUCAACUAAGCAAGUUGUUAGGCUCAUAAUCUAACCAUGGAAGUUCAAGCCUUCCCCCUGCUU
rnacentral:tRNA from 1 species